UACGAAGGGGGCUAGCGUUGCUCGGAAUCACUGGGCGUAAAGGGUGCGUAGGCGGGUUCUUAAGUCAGAGGUGAAAUCCUGGAGCUCAACUCCAGAACUGCCUCCGAUACUGGGAGCCUUCGAGUCCGGGAGAGGUGAGUGGAACUGCGAGUGUAGAGGUGAAAUUCGUAGAUAUUCGCAAGAACACCAGUGGCGAAGGCGGCUCACUGGCCCGGUACUGACGCUGAGGUGCGAAAGCGUGGGGAGCAAACAGG
rnacentral:rRNA from 1 species